rnacentral:rRNA from 1 species
GGGUUGUGAGGUUAAGCGACUAAGCGUACACGGUGGAUGCCCUGGCAGUCAGAGGCGAUGAAGGACGUGCUAAUCUGCGAUAAGCGUCGGUGAGGUGAUAUGAACCGUUAUAACCGGCGAUUUCCGAAUGGGGAAACCCAGUGUGUUUCGACACACUAUCAUUAACUGAAUCCAUAGGUUAAUGAGGCGAACCGGGGGAACUGAAACAUCUAAGUACCCCGAGGAAAAGAAAUCAACCGAGAUUCCCCCAGUAGCGGCGAGCGAACGGGGAGGAGCCCAGAGCCUGAAUCAGUGUGUGUGUUAGUGGAAGCGUCUGGAAAGGCGCGCGAUACAGGGUGACAGCCCCGUACACAAAAAUACACAUAUUGUGAGCUCGAUGAGUAGGGCGGGACACGUGGUAUCCUGUCUGAAUAUGGGGGGACCAUCCUCCAAGGCUAAAUACUCCUGACUGACCGAUAGUGAACCAGUACCGUGAGGGAAAGGCGAAAAGAACCCCGGCGAGGGGAGUGAAAAAGAACCUGAAACCGUGUACGUACAAGCAGUGGGAGCCUCUUUAUGGGGUGACUGCGUACCUUUUGUAUAAUGGGUCAGCGACUUAUAUUCUGUAGCAAGGUUAACCGAAUAGGGGAGCCGAAGGGAAACCGAGUCUUAACUGGGCGUUAAGUUGCAGGGUAUAGACCCGAAACCCGGUGAUCUAGCCAUGGGCAGGUUGAAGGUUGGGUAACACUAACUGGAGGACCGAACCGACUAAUGUUGAAAAAUUAGCGGAUGACUUGUGGCUGGGGGUGAAAGGCCAAUCAAACCGGGAGAUAGCUGGUUCUCCCCGAAAGCUAUUUAGGUAGCGCCUCGUGAAUUCAUCUCCGGGGGUAGAGCACUGUUUCGGCAAGGGGGUCAUCCCGACUUACCAACCCGAUGCAAACUGCGAAUACCGGAGAAUGUUAUCACGGGAGACACACGGCGGGUGCUAACGUCCGUCGUGAAGAGGGAAACAACCCAGACCGCCAGCUAAGGUCCCAAAGUCAUGGUUAAGUGGGAAACGAUGUGGGAAGGCCCAGACAGCCAGGAUGUUGGCUUAGAAGCAGCCAUCAUUUAAAGAAAGCGUAAUAGCUCACUGGUCGAGUCGGCCUGCGCGGAAGAUGUAACGGGGCUAAACCAUGCACCGAAGCUGCGGCAGCGACACUAUGUGUUGUUGGGUAGGGGAGCGUUCUGUAAGCCUGUGAAGGUGGCCUGUGAGGGUUGCUGGAGGUAUCAGAAGUGCGAAUGCUGACAUAAGUAACGAUAAAGCGGGUGAAAAGCCCGCUCGCCGGAAGACCAAGGGUUCCUGUCCAACGUUAAUCGGGGCAGGGUGAGUCGACCCCUAAGGCGAGGCCGAAAGGCGUAGUCGAUGGGAAACAGGUUAAUAUUCCUGUACUUGGUGUUACUGCGAAGGGGGACGGAGAAGGCUAUGUUGGCCGGGCGACGGUUGUCCCGGUUUAAGCGUGUAGGCUGGUUUUCCAGGCAAAUCCGGAAAACCAAGGCUGAGGCGUGAUGACGAGGCACUACGGUGCUGAAGCGACAAAUGCCCUGCUUCCAGGAAAAGCCUCUAAGCAUCAGGUAACAUCAAAUCGUACCCCAAACCGACACAGGUGGUCAGGUAGAGAAUACCAAGGCGCUUGAGAGAACUCGGGUGAAGGAACUAGGCAAAAUGGUGCCGUAACUUCGGGAGAAGGCACGCUGAUAUGUAGGUGAAGCGACUUGCUCGUGGAGCUGAAAUCAGUCGAAGAUACCAGCUGGCUGCAACUGUUUAUUAAAAACACAGCACUGUGCAAACACGAAAGUGGACGUAUACGGUGUGACGCCUGCCCGGUGCCGGAAGGUUAAUUGAUGGGGUUAGCGGUAACGCGAAGCUCUUGAUCGAAGCCCCGGUAAACGGCGGCCGUAACUAUAACGGUCCUAAGGUAGCGAAAUUCCUUGUCGGGUAAGUUCCGACCUGCACGAAUGGCGUAAUGAUGGCCAGGCUGUCUCCACCCGAGACUCAGUGAAAUUGAACUCGCUGUGAAGAUGCAGUGUACCCGCGGCAAGACGGAAAGACCCCGUGAACCUUUACUAUAGCUUGACACUGAACAUUGAGCCUUGAUGUGUAGGAUAGGUGGGAGGCUUUGAAGUGUGGACGCCAGUCUGCAUGGAGCCGACCUUGAAAUACCACCCUUUAAUGUUUGAUGUUCUAACGUUGGCCCGUAAUCCGGGUUGCGGACAGUGUCUGGUGGGUAGUUUGACUGGGGCGGUCUCCUCCUAAAGAGUAACGGAGGAGCACGAAGGUUGGCUAAUCCUGGUCGGACAUCAGGAGGUUAGUGCAAUGGCAUAAGCCAGCUUGACUGCGAGCGUGACGGCGCGAGCAGGUGCGAAAGCAGGUCAUAGUGAUCCGGUGGUUCUGAAUGGAAGGGCCAUCGCUCAACGGAUAAAAGGUACUCCGGGGAUAACAGGCUGAUACCGCCCAAGAGUUCAUAUCGACGGCGGUGUUUGGCACCUCGAUGUCGGCUCAUCACAUCCUGGGGCUGAAGUAGGUCCCAAGGGUAUGGCUGUUCGCCAUUUAAAGUGGUACGCGAGCUGGGUUUAGAACGUCGUGAGACAGUUCGGUCCCUAUCUGCCGUGGGCGCUGGAGAACUGAGGGGGGCUGCUCCUAGUACGAGAGGACCGGAGUGGACGCAUCACUGGUGUUCGGGUUGUCAUGCCAAUGGCACUGCCCGGUAGCUAAAUGCGGAAGAGAUAAGUGCUGAAAGCAUCUAAGCACGAAACUUGCCCCGAGAUGAGUUCUCCCUGACUCCUUGAGAGUCCUGAAGGAACGUUGAAGACGACGACGUUGAUAGGCCGGGUGUGUAAGCGCAGCGAUGCGUUGAGCUAACCGGUACUAAUGAACCGUGAGGCUUAACCUUACAACGCCGAAG